AGUGGCAGCACACACGAGCAUAUGCGUGCUCUCCUCGAUGCAUACAGGCGGCGCCGCCGCGGGCGCUCCUCGAUCCAUACGGGCGGCGCCACCACCACCUGCGGCUGGUCUUCUUGUCCAGCCAUCUACCGCCCUUCUCCCCUUCCCAUUCGCUGCCCUCCUCUACCCUCCCGCCCCUAAUCUUAUCUGGCACUACCCCCAGCCUCCUGCUGCCGUGCCUCGAUCCAUACGGGCGUCACCGCCGGCGGGGGGCGGUCUUCUUCUCCGGCCAUCCGCCGCCCUCCUCCCCUCCCCCUCCCUCCUAAUCUUCUUCUUCUUCUCUGGCCAUCCGUCGCCCUCCUCAAAUCCCGCGGAGUUUGCCGGAGGAAAACCAUCCGUCGUCCGAACGUGCCACACCAGAGGGAAGCACCGGAAAGAGGAUGUUUCUAUGCAGCAUAACCCAAAAGUUUAAUUUGAUGUAUUCCAUGAAGCGUUGUACAAAGGAGCUCAACGACAACUGAGGUGCUGCUGGAAUUACAUCAGCUACUAACUUACGUUAAUCUAAUCAAUUCCUUGGCAUACUUUAGGAAACGAGGGUAUAUUGGGCGGUCUCCGACAGCCCGACGACAAUACAGAGUCGUCGUAGUUGGGUUGUGUUCAUGUAACACUGAAACUUGUCAUAGUUAGUAUAAGAAGGCACUUUGGUGUCUCAGCAACCAGGUCGACACCGACCACCAUGGUGGCUCGCAGCGAUGCCCUCCCGCCACCCUAUGUACGACCAGCGGCGAGAUGGGCGGGAACUCUUUGGCGUGCCGGCACACAGGAACGACACACGCCGUACAACCUGAAGGACAUGUUCGUCAGGCUUAACUUGACCUUCACUGACGCCACCUUGCCACCUCUGUUGCUGGAGAUUAGCCGAAGACUUAGCUUGUUGCCGCUUUGCUUCAAUGGUUGCUUUAAUGCUCUUGGACUGUCCGUAAUGAGCAGCUGAUGGUGCUUGGACGAAACAAUUGAUCAGAAAAUGGGUAGUGCUGUGCUGGUGGUCAUGUGUCCGCUGACUAACUGUAAAACACCUAAGAUGAUUUUUCCAGGACUUGAUACAUUUCAAUUACUCAUUGGCGUCUUCUUCUU